rnacentral:lncRNA from 1 species
UCAAAUCAACUUGUUGAAUAAGGUUCAUGUUAUGCACAGUAUAUAUAUAUGUUUUCCAUCUUGGAAAAUCCAUGAUUCACUCUGUACCUAGAGUUGUUCUCGUAUAAAUACGUGUUGGAUGAAUGCCUCAACGUGAGACAACAAGCUACAGAAGUACAUGAUGUCUCUGUUCAUUCUGUUCCAAAACUGAGGUGGCACAGCUUCUGAAGAUAGUGCAUACUACGUUGGUCAUCUUGUACAUAUAUGGGGGGCUUUCUGCAAAUUUGACAAGAUUAGUCCUCCGCAUUCCAUUCUGUACCUAGAUUUUCAAUCUGACGGUUGUGCAGCACUCAGUGCAGCCGGAGUACUCUAUGACCGGGAGUACAGGAUAUGUUCUCGCCCGCGCCCAUGAGAACGUCGACAGCCGCGAGCCUAGCGAAGACCAAGGUGAGCGCAUCGAGAGGCAGCUCCAUUACCCUUGGAACACCUGAAAACAAAGGUUGGUGUCAAAGAGCUACUUCCUCCGUCCGGAAAUACUUGUCAUCAAAAUGAAUAAAAGGGGAUGUAUCUAGAUGUAUUUUAGUUCUAGAUACAUCUCUUUUUAUCCAUUUUGAUGACGAGUAUUUCCGGACGAAAGGAGUACUAGGUAGUGUAAACACUGUAAGAGCAUGGUUAAUAGAAGAGCCCGCAACCGGCUAUAUACUAGUGCCACAUCAUCUUAUAGUCUUCCUAAGAGCAAGUACAAUAAGGUGAUGUAGGCGGGCUGUAAAACAUUAAAUAUUAUAUUCUUGCUUACUUGAAAGAGAGAGAGGAGGAGAGAGAAGAGAAGCGGGCUACUAGUUAACAGCCGGCUGCAGCACGUACUCCUAGGUACUUUGUGAGAGAGUGGGAUAGACCAUGUAUCAACAAAGUAGUACAUAUUUAUAUCUAGCUAUUGUACUUGUUGGCUAUAAGCUUGACUAUAUGUGACAUGACAACAUCAUAUAGCCAGCAGCUAACUAUAUUAUUAACCAUGCUCUAAAGCCAUACUCAUACAAUAGACUGGCUAUAGAUUAAUGACUAGGCAAGCUAUAGCAUUCAAUGCUUGCAUGUGGACUCAGGAAAAGGGACUCACAUGAUUCGUAGGUGGGAAGAAACGUUGGCUUUUAGCCUUCACACAGGCUGCAUGCUGGCUACAUGUGCUCGUAUAUUGUGCUGCAGCCGGGCGCUAGAUGAAGCGCCGGCUCUCAUCUCUCUCCUACCUCCUCUCUCCUCCAGCUGUGAUUUUACUGAUGUGGCAUGGCUUAUAGCCAGUUGAGUAGAAUCUAUUAUACUUGCUCUAAAGAGCUGAUGGGUCUAAAGAACCUUGACGACGG